UAGAAGACACACAAAGCUCUUCGUCCAUAGCUCUCAUUCUUUCUGUUUUUAGUUUUUACAGCAGCCAGGCUAUUGCUUUAGCCGCUUCGGGUCCGGUCAAAGUAAAUCCAAAUGAAACAUAACUUUGCCUCGCGCCGGAAACGUCGCGUGUCUCGAAGAGUAAGGCGAUUAGCUAGCUGCUGCUGCUCCCUGCCGGUAUGGAAGAGUACUGCAGGCACUAGACCGCACAGACAUACAUAUUGGAUCAUUUCCUGCUCUAAAUUUUCCCGAGGUGGGUGUGUGAGCACGAAUGGCAGUUUCCGUUACCCGUAUACUGCCCGAAGUUGUCGGGGGAGAAGCUCCAGCAUGCCCGUGACCCUCAUGAGCAGAAGCCGAUUAGAAAAUGGGAGCAUAAUACCGAUUGAAGAAUCACAACGCAGAUGGACGUCCACAAGUAAAGUCCCAGAGGGCCGUGCAGCGUCUCGUAAGGACGUCCAAAGGCGUUGAAGAAGAAGAAGCCGCUUGACACGGACGAGAAGACGAUCAAUGCGCUGCAGAAGAAGAUGAUGGUCACGUGGAGACCUGCUGGGAUGGCGCCCAUCAACUCUGAAAAGACUGCCGCAACCACAAAAAAAAAAAAAAGAUCAAA